rnacentral:rRNA from 1 species
UGGGGAAUAUUGCACAAUGGGCGAAAGCCUGAUGCAGCAACGCCGCGUGAGGGAAGACGGUUUUCGGAUUGUAAACCUUUGUCCUCAGUGAAGAUAAUGACGGUAGCUGAGGAGGAAGCCACGGCUAACUACGUGCCAGCAGCCGCGGUAAUACGUAGGUGGCAAGCGUUGUCCGGAAUUACUGGGUGUAAAGGGAGCGCAGGCGGGAGAGCAAGUCAGUGGUGAAAUGCAUGGGCUUAACCCAUGAACUGCCAUUGAAACUGUUUUUCUUGAGUGGAUCAGAGGCAAGCGGAAUUCCGAGUGUAGCGGUGAAAUGCGUAGAUAUUCGGAGGAACACCAGUGGCGAAGGCGGCUUGCUGGGGUCUAACUGACGCUGAGGCUCGAAAGUGUGGGGAGC